AUCAACGUAACUAACAGGAUUUGUUAAAUGGCAUUUGUGCUUCCAAGAAAAGCAAGGUUCGAUUUAAAAUAAAUGACAUUUGUGCUUCCAAGCUUCAUUUGCAAUUGCAUUUUGCCAUAGCCAUUGCUUACUCUCCUUUAUUUAGUGAAGCUUUCAUGGCCCAAGACAUUGGUCAAUAAGUGGUUGAAUAUCAAGUGCAAAACUGAUAACUUUCAAGCAGAUGAUGAUGUUGAUGAUGAUGUCCUUUAUCAAGACUUUUCAGAAUUCAUUCGGUUCUAUGAUUUUGUUUUCUUCAUGUGUCGCGAGAAUGGUCAAAAGAAUAUUUGGCAGUAACUGCUUGGAAAUUAGUUUUUACUGGGAAUGAACAAGGGAAUGAACACUGAUACAAUUGUGAAGGCCAAGAGUUUUCUUGAUGGUGAUGAAGAUCAGCAUGAAAAAGAUGUGUUUGAGAAGAAUUUGAAGGUGCUUCAGAAUAUUUUUUAGUCAUUAUGCCGAGAUUAAAAGAUUAAUGAUUUUUUGUUUGUUAAGUUCUUUUCGGAUAUAGAGUGCAAACUUUGCAUUUUAAUUGAUAUGUGAUACAAGUUUCAUGUGACUUAAAUUAUCUGUUCUUAA